UGAGUAACACGUAUCCAACCUACCGUUUACUACGGGAUAGCCUUCUGAAAAGGAGAUUAAUACCGUAUGGUAUUCUAAAGUUUCAUGACAUUAGAAUUAAAGGUUUACCGGUAAUCGAUGGGGAUGCGUUCCAUUAGAUAGUAGGCGGGGUAACGGCCCACCUAGUCAGCGAUGGAUAGGGGUUCUGAGAGGAAGGUCCCCCACAUUGGAACUGAGACACGGUCCAAACUCCUACGGGAGGCAGCAGUGAGGAAUAUUGGUCAAUGGACGAGAGUCUGAACCAGCCAAGUAGCGUGAAGGAUGACUGCCCUAUGGGUUGUAAACUUCUUUUAUAAAGGAAUAGAGUAGUCCACGUGUGGAUUUUUGUAUGUACUUUAUGAAUAAGGAUCGGCUAACUCCGUGCCAGCAGCCGCGGUAAUACGGAGGAUCCAAGCGUUAUCCGGAUUUAUUGGGUUUAAAGGGAGCGUAGAUGGAUUUUUAAGUCAGUUGUGAA
rnacentral:rRNA from 1 species